rnacentral:rRNA from 1 species
UACGUAGGUGGCAAGCGUUGUCCGGAAUUAUUGGGCGUAAAGGGCGCGUAGGCGGCUGCACAAGUCAAAGGUGAAAUCCCUCGGCUCAACUGAGGAACUGCCUUUGAAACUGUGCGGCUUGAGGCCGGGAGGGGGUAGCGGAAUUCCCAGUGUAGCGGUGAAAAUGCGUAGAUUAUUGGGAGGAACACCAGUGGCGAAGGCGGCUACCUGGACCGGUUUCUGACGCUGAGGCGCGAAAAGCGUGGGGGAGCAAAACAGG